rnacentral:rRNA from 1 species
UAUGUCUGUAGUGAAAGCGUUCGGCUCAACCGAAUAAACAUUAUAGAAACUGCUCAGCUAGAGGAUGAGAGAGGUUAUUGGAAUUCCCAGUGUAGGAGUGAAAUCCGUAGAUAUUGGGAGGAACACCGAUGGCGUAGGCAGAUAACUGGCUCAUUCCUGACACUAAGGCACGAAAGCGUGGGAGCAAACGGGAUUAGAUACCCCGGUAGUCCACGCCGUAAACUAUGGAUGCUA